rnacentral:lncRNA from 1 species
CCCUUGCUGUCUCUGCCUUGCCGGUUCCCCUCUUUCCACUGGGAUUCUCUGCCUCUAACCCUUUUACAGGGGCUGAGUCACUGGCUUACUGGUGUUCUUCCAUGCCGUCCAUGGGAGGGGUGCGUCACUUGAGUGGGUUGAGUCACUGACGUGGUCUUCCUGUCUGGGUUGGCGCCCCCCCUUGGGUUGUGCCAUGGCGGAGAUCGUUGUGGGCUAUACUCGGCCUUGUCUUAGGAUGGUAAGUUGGUGGUUGGAGACAUCCCUCUAGUGGUGUGGGGGCUGUGCUUUGGCAAAGUGGGUGGCGUUAUGGGUCCUACAGUAGGUCUAUGUUAUUGUUAGGUGAAGUUAUGGGUCCUGCAGUAGGUCUAUGUUGUUGUUAGGUGAAGUUAUGGGUCCUACAGUAGGUCUAUGUUGUUGUUAGGUGAAGUUAUGGGUCCUACAGUAGGUCUAUGUUGUUGUUAGGUGAAGUUAUGGGUCCUACAGUAGGUCUAUGUUGUUGUUAGGUGAAGUUAUGGGUCCUACAGUAGGUCUAUGUUGUUGUUAGGUGAAGUUAUGGGUCCUACAGUAGGUCUAUGUUGUUGUUAGGCGGAGUUAUG